UAUUUCUGUCUGUUUUUAGAUUAGAGAGUUAUAGAGUUUACACGCAUAUAAUAUGCGUUAUAGAGUUACCUCCAUAAAGAGUAGUAUAAAGUACAUUUUGUUUAAUUAUAAAUAAAAUGGAUGUACAAUCGGUCAAUACCCGAAGAAAAAUAUUAAAUCAUGUUGUUUGCAGUAUUUUAGUAGAAUGUGGUUAUGAUACUUGUGAAAAACAAGUGUUGGAAACUCUGACUGAGAUGCUUCAGUCUUUUAUCGUGGAAGUUGGGCAAUCUGCAAGAAAUUAUUGUGAACUUUCUGGGAGAACAGAACCUCUAAUUGCAGAUGUUAUAUUAGCAUUGGUAAAUAUGGGUAUAAAAUUGGAAAAUUUAGAAAGUUAUGGGAAGAGAUCAAAUAGAACAGUUUUACCUCCAUUACAACAACAAACUCAGUCAAAACAAUUAAAUAUUUUACAAGCUGGUGUAAAGCAAAGUCAUCCCUCGCAUAUACCCAAUUAUUUACCAGCUUUUCCAGAUCCACAUGCAUAUAUCAGAACACCUACACAUAAACAACCAGUAACUGAAUAUGAAGCUAUAAGAGAAAAAGCUGCUACACAAAAACGAGAUAUCGAAAGAGCCUUAACAAGAUUUAUUGCAAAAACUGGGGAAACACAUAGUUUAUUUUUAACAGAAGAUAACAGCAUGUUUCCUUUAAUAGCUUGUAAACCACAAUUUCCUAGUUAUCUCUCUGCACUUUUACCUCAAGACCAAAUAUUUGAAACAGAUCAAGACUUUCAAUUUGAACCAACACCUGUUAAAAAGAAAAAAGAACAGAAAGGAGAAGAAAAAGAGGAAGGUGUUAAUGUACAAAGUGAAGGCGCAGAACAAACUAAUGAGGCUACUGCACAGCAAGAUGGUAUAGAUAAUCCUUACUUACGUCCUGGAAAAAUACCUAAAAAUAAGAUACCUGGUGCUAUAGUCCCUUCGCAGCAUUUAAUAAAAAGAGACUCCUUUGUCGAUACUUAACAACUUCACAAAUAUCUCAAGUGUAUAUACAAGAUCAACAAUAUUUAUAGUUAAUUUUUUAAAAGAAACGCUAUAAAAAAGCAACUAUAAUAUUGCACGCGUUAGCACCAGUUGAAUGAUGUUAAUGAAAUUACUAUAAAACUAUGGAGGACUUUUUUAUGUGAGUAGCACAUAUUUUUUUACAAAAAUAUAAUUUCUUAUUGCUCUAAUGUGAUUAUGCACAUUUUCUACCCCGGUAUACAUCAACAUAAAAUAUAUAUAUAUACAAAUAGCAUCUAAUACAAAUUUUGCAUAAUAUAUAAUUUGCAAAAAUAUAUUGUAGUACUCUAAUUUUCGUUAUUUAUGUGCAAUGUGUAUUAUGAGAAAAUUGACACUAUUUCUUUAUUUUAGUAAAAAUCGUGAUGUGAAAUUCUAUAAUAAAAUAUUUUUCCCCCAGGAACAAAUAACUAAUGUU